UACGGAGGGUGCAAGCGUUGCUCGGAAUCACUGGGCGUAAAGCGACCGCAGGCGGCCUGACAAGUCGGAUGUGAAAGCCCUGGGCUCAACUCAGGAACAGCAUUCGAAACCGGCAGGCUUGAGUACGGGAGAGGGGGGUGGAAUUCCUGGUGUAGGGGUGAAAUUCGUUGAUAUCAGGAGGAACACCGGCGGCGAAGGCGGCCCCCUGGCCCGCAACUGACGCUCAUGGUCGAAAGCGUGGGGAGCAAACAGG
rnacentral:rRNA from 1 species